AACGAAUUGGUGUAAAAAUGUUGCAGGACUCAAAGUUGGAGAAAAUGGUGUGCCUCCUGGUUUUGAUCAACCAUUUGAAGGUGAUACUGAUCUUUUACCUCACGAAGAAGAAGAGAUGCAUGAUACUCUGAGAAGUGAAAUAAGACUCAAAGUUAGAGAAAAUGUUGCGCCUCCUGGUUUUGAUCAAAUAUUUGAAGGGCCAUGUGAAUCUGAAAAAGUAAAAAAAGUGAGAGGAACGAAUAGGUGUAAAAAAGUUGCAGGACUCAAAGUUGGAGAAAAGUUGCGCCACUUUCUACCACAAUAGGGUUGUUGGGCAGCAUCAUGCCUCAUUUACGAGACACUUGAGUAUAUUAGUCCGUGAUCGUAAUAUGUGCCCAUUACGUGUACACUCAUGGGCAGAUAUCGAAGAAUAUAAGCUGCAACACAUGUGGGAAGCUGUUACGGACAAAUUUGACAGUGAUGACAUAAAUGAUCAACGAGAUCAUGUCUUGAAACAUAUGAGAAAGUUAUGGAACAAUUGGAGAGGAUCGAUGCACAAGAAUGUUAAGUCUAAGCCAUUCCGUUAUGCUAUAAAAUAUGUGCCAGAGGGGGUAGACAAGAGUGAUUGGGAAUGGCCGGUCAAAGAGCAUUUUUUUACUGAAAAAUUUAAGGAGACAAAGUACAAGAAACUCGGUCAAUAAGUCUAGGUUGAGUAUGCCUCAUCGUACGGGUAGUAAACCGAUUAGGGAGAUCAUUUAUGAAUUGGUGAGUAAAUCUUAUAAUUCUAUUAAGAAACCUCAUCUUUGUUACAAAAAUUACUUUGACUUGUUUAUUGUAAUGUGAAUGGAGGUAAAGAUGGUAAUCCACCAGAUAUGGCAACUAUUUUUUUGAGACUCAUAAGAAGAACAACAAGCUUGUCGAACCGAAAACUAGCGAGAAAUAUGAUAAAAUUAAAGAAUUGGUGCAAUCUGAAUUGUCUCUUACAAAUAUUGAGGUUGUAGAAAGGUGUUUCGGACCUCAACAAAAGAGUCAUGUAGUUGGAUUUGGUGGUGGGAUAACCGCUAAGGAGUUGAAAGGUGGUAACUCCGCUAAAGCUGCAUUAUUGGAAAAACUGAAUGCUACUGUAAAAGAAAAUGAAUCACUAAAAGGACAUUUGGAAGUGCUAGAGAGUAAAUAUGAUGAGCUCUCUUCAAGUGAUCAAUAGAUUGAAUCAUAUAACGGGUUAGUACAUUGAAAAUCAUAUUUUACUCUAUGAUGAAAAUAUUGAAAUGCUCAUGUGAAUUUUUUCUUUAUGUCAUUAAGGUUUAUUCAAAGCAAUUUACACACUUGUAUUUUGGGUGUUUUCCUAUUUCUCUAGGGAGGAUUCGAUGCUUAGGUUUUGCCUUUGGCAAAGGCAAAGUCCCUGUCUUUUCAUGUCUAGAUCCGUAUGAUGGAAAUUCCCCAGUUUAGAUGCUAUGCCUUAUCUAUUGAAUUGUGUCUUAGUGCUGGAAUCCUAGUCAUAGAAAUCUUAAUGAUUUGUUUUAGA